rnacentral:sRNA from 1 species
GGUUCGAUUCUAGCGCAGCGAGAAAGCGUUGCCGCAGGCAACGACCCGAAGGGCGAAGCGCGCAGCGCUGAGUCAUCCUUCCCCCACCACCA